rnacentral:tmRNA from 1 species
GGGGUCGCCAGGUUUUGACAGCGUAGAUCCUUGAAAGUAUAAGCAUGUAGUGCGUUGUAUCAUUAGCACUUUAAUCUGAAGGUUCAACAAUCAAUCGGCAACGAUUACGCUAUGGCUGCUUAGUCUAUUUAGAUUAACCACCAUUAUGGCCGCACAUUUCAGCUAGGUUUGUCAGCUACGUUGUGCCGCCUUCAAAAGAGAAGACGAAAUGCUGCAAGAGUAGGCUGUGCCUCUUGCAAAAGACCCAUCCAGCUAAGGUAAAUAUUGGUUUGUUUAGCUCCGGUAUUUGCCCAACAAUUAAUGCUAAAAUAAACAUGUAGAAGGCUUUUGAUGAAUAUGUUUGGACAGGGGUUCGACUCCCCUCGGUUCCACUU